rnacentral:rRNA from 1 species
CAGGCUUAACACAUGCAAGUCGAGGGGCAUCAGGAAGAAAGCUUGCUUUCUUUGCUGGCGACCGGCGCACGGGUGAGUAACACGUAUCCAACCUGCCCUUUACUCGGGGAUAGCCUUUCGAAAGAAAGAUUAAUACCCGAUAGCAUAAUGAUUCCGCAUGGUUUCAUUAUUAAAGGAUUCCGGUAAAGGAUGGGGAUGCGUUCCAUUAGGUUGUUGGUGGGGUAACGGCCCACCAAGCCUUCGAUGGAUAGGGGUUCUGAGAGGAAGGUCCCCCACAUUGGAACUGAGACACGGUCCAAACUCCUACGGGAGGCAGCAGUGAGGAAUAUUGGUCAAUGGGCGCUAGCCUGAACCAGCCAAGUAGCGUGAAGGAUGAAGGCUCUAUGGGUCGUAAACUUCUUUUAUAUAAGAAUAAAGUGCAGUAUGUAUACUGUUUUGUAUGUAUUAUAUGAAUAAGGAUCGGCUAACUCCGUGCCAGCAGCCGCGGUAAUACGGAGGAUCCGAGCGUUAUCCGGAUUUAUUGGGUUUAAAGGGAGCGUAGGUGGACUGGUAAGUCAGUUGUGAAAGUUUGCGGCUCAACCGUAAAAUUGCAGUUGAUACUGUCAGUCUUGAGUACAGUAGAGGUGGGCGGAAUUCGUGGUGUAGCGGUGAAAUGCUUAGAUAUCACGAAGAACUCCGAUUGCGAAGGCAGCUCACUGGACUGCAACUGACACUGAUGCUCGAAAGUGUGGGUAUCAAACAGGAUUAGAUACCCUGGUAGUCCACACAGUAAACGAUGAAUACUCGCUGUUUGCGAUAUACAGUAAGCGGCCAAGCGAAAGCAUUAAGUAUUCCACCUGGGGAGUACGCCGGCAACGGUGAAACUCAAAGGAAUUGACGGGGGCCCGCACAAGCGGAGGAACAUGUGGUUUAAUUCGAUGAUACGCGAGGAACCUUACCCGGGCUUAAAUUGCAGUGGAAUGAUGUGGAAACAUGUCAGUGAGCAAUCACCGCUGUGAAGGUGCUGCAUGGUUGUCGUCAGCUCGUGCCGUGAGGUGUCGGCUUAAGUGCCAUAACGAGCGCAACCCUUAUCUUUAGUUACUAACAGGUUAUGCUGAGGACUCUAGAGAGACUGCCGUCGUAAGAUGUGAGGAAGGUGGGGAUGACGUCAAAUCAGCACGGCCCUUACGUCCGGGGCUACACACGUGUUACAAUGGGGGGUACAGAAGGCAGCUAGCGGGUGACCGUAUGCUAAUCCCAAAAUCCUCUCUCAGUUCGGAUCGAAGUCUGCAACCCGACUUCGUGAAGCUGGAUUCGCUAGUAAUCGCGCAUCAGCCACGGCGCGGUGAAUACGUUCCCGGGCCUUGUACACACCGCCCGUCAAGCCAUGGGAGCCGGGGGUACCUGAAGUACGUAACCGCAAGGAUCGUCCUAGGGUAAAACUGGUGACUGGGGC